rnacentral:rRNA from 1 species
GGGUGAUAAAACCUAAAGGCAAAACUAAAAUGAAAAAAGCUUAGCUUUAUUAGGGAGGAUGGCUAUUACUUAGUCCGCACUCCCGGGGCGUCCAUUACUCAUUGCGAGUAAGGGCGCACCAAGAGCGUACACGUUGGGACCCGAAAGAUGGUGAUCUAUGCCAGACCAGGAUGAAGCCAGGGGAAACCCUGGUGGAGGUCCGCAGCGAUUCUGACGUGCAAAUCGAUCGUCUGAGUUUGGUAUAGGGGCGAUAGACUUAUCGAAGCAUCUAGUAGCUGGUUCCCUCCGAAGUUUCCCUCAGGAUAGCUGGUGCCGAUGAUGAAAUGAGUCUCAUCCGGUAAAGCGAAUGAUUAGAGGCCUUGGGGUCGAAACGACCUCAACCUAUUCUCAAACUUUAAAUGGAUGUGAACUUUGGCUUGCUUAAAAA